AGGGGCGCACCAGGCGCGAAACCUCCGCAAUGCGGGAAACCGUGACGGGGCCACCCCGAGUGCCCCCGUUCCGGGGGCUUCUCCCCGCUGUAGGAAGGCGGGGGAAUAAGCGGGGGGCAAGUCUGGUGUCAGCCGCCGCGGUAAUA
rnacentral:rRNA from 1 species